rnacentral:rRNA from 1 species
UACGAAGGGGGCGAGCGUUGUUCGGAAUUACUGGGCGUAAAGGGCGCGCAGGCGGCCCUUGAAGUCAGGCGUGAAAGCCCCGGGCUCAACCUGGGAGGUGCGCUUGAUACUCGAGGGCUUGAGUGCGGGAGAGGAGAGUGGAAUUCCCAGUGUAGAGGUGAAAUUCGUAGAUAUUGGGAAGAACACCGGUGGCGAAAGCGGCGCACUGGACCAUAACUGACGCUGAGGCGCGAAAGCUAGGGGAGCAAACAGG